ensembl:rRNA 5S_rRNA 5S ribosomal RNA
AUCCACAGUCAUACCACCCUGAAUGCUCCUGAUCUCCUCUGAUCCUGGAAGCUAAGCAGGGUCUGGCCUGGUUAGUACUUAGAAGGGAGAAAUGACAUCAACAGUGUCAC